GGGGAUGUAGCUCAGUGGUAGAGUGUUUGCCUAGCAUGCACAAAGCCUUGGGCUCCGUCCCUA
rnacentral:tRNA from 1 species